rnacentral:rRNA from 1 species
CCUACGGGAGGCAGCAGUGGGGAAUCUUGCGCAAUGGGCGAAAGCCUGACGCAGCCAUGCCGCGUGAAUGAUGAAGGUCUUAGGAUUGUAAAAUUCUUUCACCGAGGACGAUAAUGACGGUACUCGGAGAAGAAGCCCCGGCUAACUUCGUGCCAGCAGCCGCGGUAAUACGAAGGGGGCUAGCGUUGCUCGGAAUUACUGGGCGUAAAGGGAGCGUAGGCGGAUAGUUUAGUCAGAGGUGAAAGCCCAGGGCUCAACCUUGGAAUUGCCUUUGAUACUGGCUAUCUUGAGUACGGAAGAGGUAUGUGGAACUCCGAGUGUAGAGGUGAAAUUCGUAGAUAUUCGGAAGAACACCAGUGGCGAAGGCGACAUACUGGUCCGUUACUGACGCUGAGGCUCGAAAGCGUGGGGAGCAAACAGGAUUAGAUACCCUGGUAGUCCACGCUGUAAACGAUGAGUGCUAGUUGUCGGCAUGCAUGCAUGUCGGUGACGCAGCUAACGACAUAAGACACUCCGCCGUCGGGGAGGUACGGUCGCAAGAAUUAAAACUAACGAAAGAAGUUAGACGGCGUGAGACGUGCCGAACGGACGACGACGAGGGAGGUUAGG